CAGUUACCGAUAUAGGAGACAGCAGAGUCCAUGUCUCUGAUAGCUCAUCAUUCGCGAAUUAAAAGUCAUUUCUUGAUCAGCGUUCAUGAAAUCAUGGAUUCAUGAUUAUGUCUUAUGAAGUAAGUUCACGAAAUAAACUUUUCACAAAAUCAGAUCUAUUAAAGUGAUACAGCAUAAAAAUAAUCAACUAUUCCAGGUAAAUUGUGUUUGAAGAUCUUCCUAUGGCUGGUUAAUAUAGCACUUGUAUGUUUUUGGUACCAAAUUAUUUAUUGUCUGUCGAUGAUACUGAAUAUACAUCAUAAUCUAAUUAAUCCAUCUACAAAACAUUACACAUGCUAGUAGUUGUUCAUUUAGAGCCUGUUUACUAUGGGGGGGAACUGGAAUUGGAAGUUUUGAAAGAAGUAUAUGCAUAUUGUGGAAAUUCACAAAAUAUUAUUUAAUUUAUAUUUUCCAGAUGCAAGUUGUUUUAUCAGAAGGACGGUGCUUGGACGGAACGUGGAAUCGGGUUCUUACAUCUCAAAAAACCUGACGACAAAGCACAGCUUGUAAUACGUGCGGAUACAACUUUAGGGAACAUCAUAUUAAAUAUCAACCUAUCGAGCUCACUACCCUUGAAUCGUCAGGGCAAGAACAACGUGAGUUUGAUGUGUGUACCGAACCCUCCCAUCAAUACUAAGGAGGAUCCUAAAGCUACUGCUAUGCUUAUCAGAGUGAAGACUGCGGAGGAUGCCGACACACUUUACGAGAAAAUGAAGGAGCUGAGGAAUUAAUAUCAAUGUAUAUAAAUCUGUCGACAUUAUGAAAUGGACCAUCUAAAGAAUGUCUCAAGCUUUGUGUAUCAGUAAAAAGAGCAAACUUCCCUGGAGAACUGAUUGUUCCUGUGAAUCAAACUAAUACAUACAUUCAAUAAGGGAAUUAAAUUCUUCAAAAAGUGAUGAAAUCAAUUUUUGAUUAUUUUUUUUUCCCCGUCAGAUUUGUAAAUAUUCCAUUUUCGCAUUUCAUUCAUGGUUUGGAAGUCCUGGACUUAAAAUCACAUUCACAAAAGGAUUUGAACAGUUUGUGUUGUACCGAUUAUCAUGCACGUAGAUUCAGUGCAGAGGAGAAUAUUCUUCCUGAUUCAGUUGAAGCAGUUUUAUAUAAGAUCUAUUAUUUUUGUCAAACUUUGAAUUGACAAAUGCAUAUAGUUAGAUCACAUAGUGGACAUCUCAAUAUACCGUUGAUUGAAAUAUCAAUUCAGAGUUUUUGGUCCAGUGAUCCUGGAAAUUAGGGAUGCUGGAAAUCUGGACUUUUAUUUAAAGUUUUGUGUUUAGCACAGUGUCUGAGAAUAUAUCAAAGUUAUUCCAACCAAACAUUGAAUAUAGUUGCAUUGUAAUAGGGACAUUUCAACACACCCUUCAAAUUGCGUGAAUAUUCACUUUUAGUGGUAUUGUUUUGGGUAAACUUCAGAUUUUGAAAAGUUGAUGUAAAAUAAUUUUUUGCAACUCUAAUUGAUUCUCAAAUUGGAAUGAGUUCUGUAAUGUAUCAGAUGUAUUUUUUCUUACUUAUUAGAAAGAGUGAUUUUUGGUGUAAAAUGUCCUAUUAAGGUGAAUUUUGAGACUACCCGGAAAGUGAUUUUGCUAAAUUUGAUAUUUAUUUUGCAAUGCAUCAAUAUUUACACAUGGCUAUAACAUAUGCAGGGUGCUUCCAUACUAUCAAGAAGAUUUUUUUUUUUUUUUUUUUUGUAAAAAUGCUGGAACUUUUUUAAUAUUGGAGUUAUUUUAAGCUUAACUUAUAUAAUUACUUUAUUAAAAAAGUGGGAAAGGGCGUGACACAUAAUUUGUUGUAUUUCUUGUUUAUAUUUUUGUUUAUACUUGCAUUAUAAUCAUGUAAGUCUGUAGCUCUAGGCCCACCCUUCAUUAGUACCGUAAUGAUCCACAAUAUCCCCAUGUCUGGUAAUAAGCCCACCCUUCUUUAGUACCGUAAUGAUCCACAAAAAACCCAUGUAUGGUAAUAAGCCCAUCCUUCAUUAGUACCGUAAUGAUCCACAAUAACCCCAUGCCUGGUAAUAAGCCCAUCCUUCAUUAGUACCGUAAUGAUCCACAAUAACCCCAUGCCUGGUAAUAAGCCCAUCCUUCAUUAGUACCGUAAUGAUCCACAAUAACCCCAUGCCUGGUAAUAAGCCCAUCCUUCAUUAGUACCGUAAUGGUCCACAAUAACCCCAUGCCUGGUAAUAAGCCCGCCCAUCUAUCAUGCAGUAAAAGUUCUGUCAAAUGUUAAUUUAUAUUUCCCCUGCACUCAUUUAUGGAAUAAAUACGUUACUCUACAAGUCAUUGUUAAAAUAAGAAGUGCUGGUAUUAUUAGAAUUAUGAGCAUUCAACUACAUUAUUAAAAAUACAUAUUACUGGGUACAUCGUAGGAAUGGUUAACCUCCAAUCAGUUCAAAUCGCCAGAUAGUUUGAACAUUUUUCCAAUAAAAACAACUGUUUUCUAGCUAGUGGUAGUUAAAAUCUCAAAAAUAUUUAUUUUACAACAACUGUGAGAUAAGUUAUACCAACAUUUAGUAAUACUUUUGUUGGCCUAGAUGGAAGUGUACGAGGGUUUUUACUGUGGGUGGAAACUGGUGUACCCGGAGUCUGGCAGUAGAAAACUAAGUGGUCAGGCAGGUGACCCAAUGUAUCUAUUCAGAUUGGGGAAUCGAACCCCGGCCACCUAGUUGAAGGGCAAGUGUGUUACCACUGUACCGCCCGACCACCCAGAUAGAUGCAGAGAUUAAACCAGAGAAAAUAUUCAACAAAAUCUGUGUAUUUGAACGUCUGUGAUCCCUCAGUUUAACGCUAUGAAAGAAUUCUGGUUGAGUUUUACCAAUAUUAUCAAUUAACACAAAAUCUGCAUAUCUUUAUACUGGAUUAUGAUUUGUUAAUACAUUCUAAGCAAAAUAACUUUUUAACAGGCAUCAGUUGUUUUGGAGUAUGUCGGAAAAGAAUUUGAAGAUUAUCAACGCAUUAUACAGCGAGACACGUCACAAUAACAGAAGAUACUAAAUACUAAACCUGCCCUAUCUCAUUUUUUAGCUCAAAUCUUCGAAGAAGAGAGAGCUGAUCACCCUGUCAUCUCCGUUAAUUUCAUGUCUUGAUGCCAGUUUUAACAUGGCAUCCUAGUAGCAUGUCAUAUUUGUCAUAUGUUGCAAAUAUUUUAGUUAUCAUUUUGGGCAAGAUUUCUAUUUGGAGGACUUUUUUUACUCAAGAUUUUUGCUUAAAAUUUCAUUUGAUAUUUAAAUAUUGUAUAAUAUCAUUUAGAAAUCUUUGAAACUCAGAAAUUCUCCUGUACCAUUCAUCAAUCAUGUCAAUGCUUUUUUUUUCUGAUAUGUUGUUCCAUUAUUACAUUUUCAGUUUUGUACCAGAUGUUGAUUGGUCUGCAUCAGAUGAUGUGUUAUUCCAUUUAUCAUCGAAUUUCACUCUGCGACAGGGAUAAAUCAUUGUAUUUUGUAUGCUAGUAAUUUCAGUCAAUCAGAUUUGAGGGACUUGUUCUGUCAAGUUGUGCAAGAGUACAAUACAAUGUUUUAUCAUGUAUAUGGUGUUUAUGUCGUCAUGAUUAUUAUCGAAUAACAUACAUACAUGCAAAAUGCAGUUUAACUGGCAUGGAAUCAUAUCAUUAGCACUCUGGUUUUGAUAUCGGAAUGUUAUAAAAUAGCUACAACACUUCGUUUCUAUCGAUACAAAGAUUUAUGGAGCAAAAAUAAAAAGUGCCGAUAUUGAAUAAUA